GAUGAACGCUAGCGGCAGGCCUAACACAUGCAAGUCGAGGGGCAUCAUGGCGUAGCAAUACGCUGAUGGCGACCGGCGCACGGGUGCGUAACGCGUAUGGAACCUACCCACCGCAGGGGGAUAACCCGCCGAAAGGCGGACUAAUACCCCAUGGUUCCCCGACCCUGCCUGGGGUUGGGGUAAAGGCCUACGGGCGGCGGUGGAUGGCCCUCGCGUGCCAUUAGCUGGCUGGUGGGGUAACGGCCCACCAGGGCGACGAUGGCUAGGGGUCGUGAGAGGACGAUCCCCCACCACUGGGACUGAGACACGGCCCAGACUCCUACGGGAGGCAGCAGUGAGGAAUAUUGGACAAUGGAUGGAAAUCCUGAUCCAGCCAUGCCGCGUGCAGGAAGACAGCCCUAUGGGUUGUAAACUGCUUUUAUAUGGGAGCAAUAAGGUCUACGUGUAGACUGAUGAGAGUACCAUAUGAAUAAGCAUCGGCUAACUCCGUGCCAGC
rnacentral:rRNA from 1 species